rnacentral:lncRNA from 1 species
UAUUUGGCAUUAUUCAUCAUUUCAUCUUCAAAUGAAUUCUUAUAUGAUGAAGUCCUUAGGACUUAUGUUAUGAUAAAGGAGGAUUUAUCUUUGAGUCCUUAAACUUGUUCGCGACCAAAUGAUAUGUUGUUGCUAGGACGACAACAUUAUCGAAAUUAGGUCGUUGUGUGACAUAUACGUUGGUUGUCCUCUUAACCAAGGAGUGUGGAGACACUGGUAUGCCA